rnacentral:lncRNA from 1 species
ACACAAGGUUUCACCAUGUUGCCUAGGCUGGUCUCAAACUCCUGGGCUCACAUGAUCCACCUGCCUUGGCCUCCCAACGUGCUGGAUUUACAGGGGACACCUGCAGUCUUGAAAGGCAAGGAGAAUGGACAUUACUCUCUAAAACCCCAGUCUCACCAUGAUGUAUACAUACAUGAUGCAUCUCAGAGUUUUGGCUGACUGAAUAUAUUCAGAGUACAGAAUGAGACAAACAGUUGAGUAUACUUUUAUUCGGCUCCAGUGUCCUCAGUGUGGUUGCAGCCGUCACUGGAAGAAACUUUCAAGCCUCUACUACUAUUACUUAAGAAAACGUCUGCAUGGAAAUUCUAUCCCCAACUGAACCUGAACCGAAGCCUGCAGAUGAGGGCCAGGCUCCCCAGCUUCCCGGAACAAGCAGACAGUUAUUAAUGGAAAUGCUCUCGCUACUCAGAUCCUUAGGCUCUCAUGCAGUGGAAAUUGACAGGAGGCUGAGAAAGUUUCCCAGACAGGCUUUACUGGGGCUGAUGCUCAAGCACAAGGCAGAUUCAACGUGGGAGCAAGAAUUCUCCAGCUGGCUUCCGGAGGGCAGAUCUUUGCAGUGUUUUAAGAAGGAUGAUAUGAAGAUCAUGAGUUAUGUCCCCAAUCACAGAAUCUAA